rnacentral:lncRNA from 1 species
ACCACGUGCUGGUGGAAAGCAAGCACAAAAUUUUUUCUGCUUCAAUAUCAGAUGCAGGCUUUUCAUGAUAGUACAAAUAUGGUAAAGAAUAUAUUUUUUAUCAAUUUGAUUUAUUCAUAUUCAGUCCUUCUCUGAAAAGCAUACGCUUUUUCACCACUCUCACAGUAAAGAACUUCCCCCUGACAUCCAACCUAAAUUUUCCCUCCUUCAACUUAAAGCCAUUUC